CUAUAACAUUUGGGCAAAGUGUCUUAUCCUGAGAUGGAUGAAAACUAGAAAGGAAAACAAUUGCAGCAUUUCAAGGUCAACUCGGUCUACAGACACCAGAGAAACAUAAUGGAACCGACAGGGCUCAGAAGACCAGCCCAGCCUUGAACCCCCAGAGAUUGAAACAUUGAUUCGUGAUGCAAGCAGACAAAAUCUCGGUGCAACAGAAGCUGGGAGAAGGACGGGGGGACAAGAA